rnacentral:tRNA from 1 species
GGGGCCUUAGCUCAAUUGGCAGAGCACCUGCUUUGCAAGCAGGGGGUUAGGAGUUCGAUUCUCCUAGGCUCCACGA